CGACUGAGCCACCCAGGCGCCCCUUAAUUUUUUUCUUAAAUUUAAAAUCAUGCCAUAAAUUCUGCUUCAUUACAUGUUGGGAAUUUUUUUUCACUUAAUUCAUCAUAAACGAAUGUCCCAUGUCGUUAUUAUAAUGCAUUUUUUUACAUGAAAUUGGAAUCAAGAAGAAGGAAGGCUGUUUAUACAGCAAUGGGACAUUUUUUUUUUUAACGUUUAUUUAUUUUUGAAACAGAGAGAGACACAGCAUGAACGGGGGAGGGGCAGAGAGAGAGGGAAACACAGAAUCGGAAGCAGGAUCCAAGCUCUGAGCCAUCAGCCCAGAGCCCGACGCGGGGCUCGAACUCGCGGACUGCGAGAUUGUGACCUGAGCUGAAGUCGGACGCUUAACCGACUGAGCCACCCAGGUGCCCCAGCAAUGGGACAUUUUUUUAAACCUAAAGAGAAAGCCACGUCCUGAAACCUUCACAUUCCCUGUGAGGAUUAGGAUAAACUCCAGAAAAAGAGAGGGAAUGCAACCAGCAGGCCGUACUUUCUUGGAGGUGGAGAACAUGAGUUCUGGUGUAACUGGGAAAUAACUCCACCAGACACCUGGAGCCUGAAGGAGUAAUAAUGAAUGCUGUUGGCGACAGGAGGAGACGUGGAGAGGGACAGGCCACCGGAAUGCUGUAGGUGGCCAAAUACAUUUUUUAAUUUGCAGACGCAGCUGGAAGGUAGAACUGACAACUCCACGUGGGCAUUUUGACACGACACUCAGCAGGAGUCCACUGAGAAGAUAAAGAACCAGAAGCUAUCAUUUAGUCAAACUUGGGCCAUCCAACCCACUUCAACCAGCAUGAUGAUUUCCCAGGACCGAGUCCUAAGCUGGGUUCUGCAGGCACAAAUAAUAGGUAAGAAUGUCUUCCUCAUGGAGCUUUAAACCCAAGAACAAGUCCUUUAGGUUUAGCUCAUAUAUCGUUGGUGGAGGAGAAGAUAUAGGCAUCACUAAGGAUGUGACCUUCAGUAAGGCACUAGUCAAAAUCUCUUCCGAUCUGCACUAAA
rnacentral:lncRNA from 1 species